rnacentral:tRNA from 1 species
CCACUGGUGGCGCAACAGUUAAGCGUUCGGCUACUAACUGAAAGGCUGGUGGUUUAAACCAGCCCAGUGGC